GAAACCGGAGCUAAUACCGGAUAAUAUAUUGAACCGCAUGGUUCAAUAGUGAAAGACGGUUUUGCUGUCACUUAUAGAUGGAUCCGCGCCGCAUUAGCUAGUUGGUAAGGUAACGGCUUACCAAGGCAACAUGCGUAGCCGACCUGAGAGGGUGAUCAGCCACACUUGAACUGAGACACGGUCCAG
rnacentral:rRNA from 1 species